UACGUAGGGGGCAAGCGUUGUCCGGAAUCAUUGGGCGUAAAGAGCGUGUAGGCGGCUCGGUAAGUCCGCUCUGAAAGCCCGGGGCUCAAUCCCGGGAGGCGGGCGGAUACUGUCGGGCUAGAGUCCGGAAGAGGCGAGUGGAAUUCCUGGUGUAGCGGUGAAAUGCGCAGAUAUCAGGAGGAACACCAAUGGCGAAGGCAGCUCGCUGGGACGGUACUGACGCUGAGACGCGAAAGCGUGGGGAGCAAACAGG
rnacentral:rRNA from 1 species